AUUGACAAGGUCCUCUCUAGGAAUAAUCCCAAAAAGGAGAUUGAGGGUCCAAUCCCCCAGCUCCUGGUAAGGGAACCUCUCCUGACCACUGAAAUCCCCAAGGGCAGAGCUGGAAAGUAGGCCUCCAUCUGAGCGUCAGAGGUUGCGUUUGAAAACUUUGCGAGUCGCCUCCAAUGGCGGUCGCUCCAAUCCCUUUAGCAACCGUCCUGGAUAGACCAAUCAGCAUCCACAUUAUUGGAAAAACCAAUCCCGCGGUAGCCAAUGGGAAGGGAACUUGGAGAGCAGCCUGAAGCCGCGAACCCUUCCAUCUUGGAACCGGGCGAAGCCAGCGGAGGACUUAGUCAGCAUUUUGCCAGUAGUUCUCCUCCAUGCAUUUCCCUGCGGGCAGUGCCGCAGUGAUCUGAAGACUUUGCGUCUUUGAUCCAAACGGCGCCUUGAGUUCCCCGCGGGAAACUUGGAGCGAAACAGAGCUAGAUUCCCGGUCCGAGUCAGGCGCGGAGCCCGGGAGUGCGGGCCCCUCAGCCUGAGCCCCGGGCCGGCGGAUGAGUGGGCAGCAGCAGCAGCAGCAGCAGCAGCCUGUUGUCCAUGCGGGGUGCCCUCAGGGAAAGGCCUUAACUACCGAGUGCCUGAAGACCCUAGAACCGCCUGGUUUAUCCUCCACGCUGCACCUCCGGUCGGGACAGCUUGGCCACAACCCCAAGGGGUAGGAAUUACCCGUUUACAGAAGCGGAAACUGAGGCCCAGGUUAAGGUGCUUAUAAAAGACCACGCAUCCGAAAAGAAUGGCCCCAGGACGCGAAUCCUUGUUCUUAAAGUCAAAGCCUGGGAGAUCCCCUCUGUACAGGACCCCCUCUGCCAGCGCAGGGAGCUGAGAGUCCACCCACCGUCACGUGGAACCAGGCUGGGGGUAUAGCUCUUUCCUAGAGCCCCCAUCUAGCAGGAGAACUGUCUACAGCACUGGAAAAAAAAAAAAAAAAUCUCACCAGGAACCAAUCAAGAUUCAUCAUACUUGGCUCUUUUAAAAUUCAUUCUGUUUCCAUCCCCCAAUCUUUAAUUUGUUUUAAUGACAUUAAUCUCUUGAAAUUAAGCCCUUUCCUUAUAAGGGACCCCAUGUAUUGGAUUUGUUGUCUGUUUCUUUCAACUGCCACUUACAUUGUCCCUCCUCCCCUGAGUUUCUUGUGAACUGGAAGUUAGUUCUAAAAACUUGACAGAUUCAUGCCA